AGUAUUGGACAAUGGGGGCAACCCUGCUCCAGCCACGCCGCGGGUGUGAAGAAGGUCUUCGGAUUGUAAAGCACUUUAAGCUGGGAGGAAGGGCUUCAGGUUAAUACUCUGAAGUACGGACGUCACCAACAGAAUAAGCACCCGCUAACCAUGUGCCAGCAGCCGCGGUAAUACAGAGGGUGCAAGCGUUAAUCGGAAUUACUGGGCGUAAAGCGCGCGUAGGUGGUUCAGUAAUAUGGGUGUGAAACCCCCGGGCUUAACCUGGGAACUGCUUUCAUAACUGCUGAGCUAGAGUACGGUAGAGGGUAGUGGAAUUUCCUGUGUAGCGGUGAAAUGCGUAGAUAUAGGAAGGAACACCAGUGGCGAAGGCGACUACCUGGACUGAUACUGACACUGAGGUGCGAAAGCGUGGGGAGCAAAC
rnacentral:rRNA from 1 species